rnacentral:lncRNA from 10 species
AUGGGAGCUUCCCUGCAGACGCUUUCUUCUCGUCUGUCGCCAUGUGAGAUGUACCUUUCACUUUCCUCCAUGAUUGUGAGGCCUCCUUAGCCACAUGGAACUGCCCUGGCAAUCACUAUUCCAGUCUCUGCUUCUAUGAGUUUGACUAUUUCAGAUUCCACAUGUAGCAAAUCUGGGGCUACGUUUCUAAGAAUUCCCUUCACUGAAGAGUUCCAAGUUACUGGAAGAAACUUGGAACAAAAGGAGUUCUGCAUGAAUUUUGAAAGGUCUACUGACUCAACAGGCAGUCAGAUAUGAAAUGCUGGAGUCCUUCAUCCGAAUGGUAAAUGGCACUUGUGACAAAAAUCAAAGUAACUAAAAAAGAAUCUGGUUGAAACCUCAGUAACAGUUGGCCUGUCUACUGCCUCACACUAACAAGGGGGAGCUAAUAAAACCGAGGUUAGAACACACAAUGUGGAAAUGAAAACCUUAUUCUUGUCAAUGGAUGGAGGGUGGUGACCCCCACCUUUACAAGUGUCUGUAAUUCUCACUAGCAGUAUAUUAGAGGGCAAAAGAUUUGAACAGACACAUCAGAAAAGAAGACAUACAAAUGGCCGCUAAGCACUUGAAAGGAUUCUGAACACCAUUAGUCAUCAGUGAAAUGCAAAUUAAAGCCAUAAUGAAUGGCGCUAUACAUUUUCAGAAUGGCAAGGAUUGAAGACCGAAAAAAAUCAAGCGUUGAGGAGAGUGACAAAUGGGGAGACAGCCGUGGUGCAUGAUCGCCGAAUAAAUACCAUGUGAGGAUACAGCAAGAAGGUGGCCAUCUACAAGCCAAGGAGACAGGCCUCAGAAGAAACCAACCCUUCUUACACCCUGGACUCAGACUUCUAAUCUCCAGAACUUGUUAAUGCACAAGGUCUUGUGUUGAAAAUGUAGAGCCACGAGAUAAAAGCAGCUUGGAUGGCUGACUCAUAUACAAGGACAACUGCCUGAGAGUCACCAGGGCUAUCAAGAAGUUUGCAGAAACAAGAAAUAAACUUUUACUGUUUUAAACUUUUGUGAAUUUUGGGUUUUGUUUAUCACCAAAUAAACCUAGUCUAUUCUGAUUGUUAUAAGUGGUUAAUUUGGGAAGUCAGAUAUAUUUAAAAUUGGCUUACUGCUGUAACAUAUACAGUCCAAAUUACAUAAUGGCUCAAAUGCAAUAGAAGUCUUUUUUUUUUUUGCUCACAUAUCACUUCACUGAGAUUCUGCAUUAAUUGUAAUGAUGAGGGUGAGGGUGUCUUAUAUCAUACAGUUGUUCAGCAACCCAGGAUGACCAACUUUGUAAUAUUUUUUCCCACUGGCUUCUAAAGUUCUCAUAGAUAGUAAAAUUCAUUUGGAAGAAGGAGAAACAGCAUGGAGGAUUGCAGAUGGAGAUUUUUAUGGGAAGGCUUGGAGGUUUGGAGGUUUAAUCGCAUGGAGAGAGAGAGCAUAGAACACGAGAAAUAUACCAAAACAACAGAGGUAAUGACCUCAGCUUUAGAGAUUUCCCAUUUUAUUAUAGUUUUAUUUCCAUUUAGAUAUGUCAUUUAGAUAUUAAGGUGUCACUGUCCAAUAAGGCAGUAUGAACCUGGGUUCUGGAUGAAGACUAGUCGGGAUAUUGUGUCAAUGACAGUAAUUGAAG